UGUGUGGAAGAAGAGCAGACCGUCACCUGCGGGCCGCAGUUCUGUGAUGGACUGCAAUCAAUCCCUGACGUGCAGCCGCCGAAGAGGAGGUUCAUGCUGACCCGGACGGAUCCCAACCGCAGUCAAGUAGAGAAGAGGAGGAUGCACAACAAGCAGCAGAGCCCAGCACAGCCCAGCCGAGCCCAGCAGAAGUUGCAGCAGCCAGGAUCCUAUUCCGCAACCAGGAAGCCUAAUAGAGAAGCUUUUUGAAUUUAUUUCCUUCUGUCUCUUUUCUGUCUCCUAAGCACUUCCCCUAAUCUAACAUAACUAACCAUCCCCCCUUCCCCUUAAGCCCCCUUUAUGCCCUUUCCUGAUCUAACUGUCUUCAUCUGCUAAUGUCUUUUUCAACUGAUUUUGUUGUAAUGUCGUUGAAUUUCUGUGUUUUGUUUCAUUGUUUUGAAUUUUGACUAAUCUCUUCUCAGUUGUAUAUUUCCAGGGACUCGGACAAGGGACGACGCGAAAGGACCCAGCCGCCCAGCCAACAGAUGAAGAGGACCCAUUGCCCAGCUAUGUCUAGCGGCCAACAUUGGCCAAAGCGGAGCGUCGAUCCCACUGAGACGUACAGCAGCAU